UGGGGGGAUAUUGCACAAUGGGGGGAAACCCUGAUGCAGCGACGCCGCGUGGAGGAAGAAGGUUUUCGGAUUGUAAACUCCUGUCGUUAGGGACGAUAAUGACGGUACCUAACAAGAAAGCACCGGCUAACUACGUGCCAGCAGCCGCGGUAAAACGUAGGGUGCAAGCGUUGUCCGGAAUUACUGGGUGUAAAGGGAGCGUAGGCGGAUCGGCAAGUUGGAAGUGAAAACUAUGGGCUCAACCCAUAAAUUGCUUUCAAAACUGCUGGCCUUGAGUAGUGCAGAGGUAGGUGGAAUUCCCGGUGUAGCGGUGGAAUGCGUAGAUAUUAGGAGGAACACCAGUGGCGAAGGCGGAUUGCUGGACGAUAACUGACGGUGAGGCGCGAAAGUGUGGGGAGCAAGCAGGAUUAGAUACCCUGGUAGU
rnacentral:rRNA from 1 species